AUCCCCAAAUUUCCCCCGUGAAACCCCUAAUUUUCCCUCCUAAAACUCUUUUAACUUUGCAAACACGCCGUCUCUCUUGCUUUCUGUCCCUCCCUCCCUCCCUGCGACAUUAUAAAAAAAAUCAACAUAUGCUGAUAAUGAGAAGAUUUACUGGUUUCCCAGGCAAAUACAAAGAGGUUACAACCAGUUUCUGGAUUAUUAUCGGCUUUACUAGUAAAACAGGUUACAGAGGUUUCACAAACAGGUUACAGAGGUUACAGCGGUUACAACCAUUGCUGUACCUUUGAGAUUAUUGGGUUUUGAGGGACGAUAAUGGGGAAGUUAGAAGGAAGAUAUCAGCAGCGUCAGCCAGAGCUCACACCAGAAAAUCUCAUCAAAGUUCUUCUUUUAAGCUUUCUCCAGGUGAGGAAAGAAAAAUUAGGAGACAGAAUUACAGCACUUCACCAGCUUGUUUCACCAUUUGGGAAGAGUGCAAAGGAGAAGCAAUUCUUAUAUGAUAUUGUUGCAAAUGGUUAGAAUGGAAUUGAUGUGGAUAAGUAAGUGAAACUUAAUAUACAUGCUACACCACCUGCAGGUUCAUGGAGACUAUGCGAGUUUUGGGUGAUGAGAUCUGCUAUCGUGCUAAAGACUAUCUUAGUAUCCACAAGUUAUUUGCUACUCGUGCUGAUCUUUAUCGAACUGUGUACACCCACUCUAAAGUGAAGUUGUGUAGGCUUCUUAUAUGAAGUGGUGAGGUCUGAUUUCAUUUUUAUUCAGGAUCCUUGUGAGUACUGGAAGCUAGAUCACACAAUAAUCAAAACCAUCGAGACAGCACCAGAUGAAGAACUCCGAGAAUCUAGAGAUCCGAUUCUGCACAUUCGUAGGAGAAAUUUGUAUUAGGUGGAGAACUUCAUUUUUGUGUUUUGAUCAUGGUAGCAUGCAAACAAACAUGCUAUUAUUAUUAUAUCUAAAAUGUGAAAGACAAAACAUACGGUAUACUGUGUUAUUUUCUGUGUUAGUUCUGUAACCAAGAUUUACUUGAUUAAGAAAAUGCAUUGUAUAUUUUAUUA